CCCCUAGUGGUGCACCGGCGAGGACCAGAAAAUUGCACGCUUUCUUGAAAGAGGCAUUUACUGAGCGCCCAAUGUAUGCCUGGCACUGGGCUGGGUGCUGCCACCUAAGCGAGCACGACCAAUGCAGUCUAUCAGAGAGGCCCAGAUCGCCAAGCAGCGGGCCCCUGCAGUCCGCCAUGCCACUCCCGACGCCUAGAGCGCCGCUCAGCACACCGUGAGCGCCCAAUAACUGUUGGGCUCCAAUGACACCGCGGAGGCGGCCUCGUCCCCGCGCUGCCGCCGGUGCCGCCGCUCCCGCUAGGGCAGCCCGGGAGGCCAGACGCUGGCGCUGCAGGGAGAGGGCGGUGGGCGCAGCCGCUAGGGGGCGCGGCGGGGCGGGGCGCACCUUUCCGUGUGUCGCGCGGAUGGCGGCGCAGGGCGUAGGUCCGGGGCCGGGGUCGGCGGCGCCCCCGGGGCUGGAGGCGGCCCGGCAGAAGCUGGCGCUGCGGCGGAAGAAGGUGCUGAGCACCGAGGAGAUGGAGCUGUACGAGCUGGCACAGGCGGCGGGCGGCGCUAUCGACCCCGACGUGUUCAAGAUCCUGGUGGACCUGCUGAAGCUUAACGUGGCCCCCCUCGCCGUCUUCCAGAUGCUCAAGUCCAUGUGUGCCGGGCAGAGGCUAGCGAGCGAGCCCCAGGACCCUGCGGCCGUGUCUCUGCCCACGUCGAGCGUGCCCGAGACCCGAGAGGCCUCCUUUCUCUCUGCCAGGAACAGUAGCCCCCCUGCAAGGCCCUCCUUUUCCUCCAGCCCGCAGCCUGCGGCCUCUCCGGUUCUGCUCCACAGCCCGGCUGCCACACACUCGCCUCUCUCUCCAGGCCCCCCGGGUUCCCUCCGCCUCUCUUGCUGCCUGUUCUCUCCUUUUGCAGAGAUAUGGUGUGGCAGUCUCUAGACCCCACAGUCGGGCUGGCAUCCGGGGACAGGACCAACACCCCCACACCCCAAAGGCGAACUGUGGAAGUCUGGAGGCUGAAACAGAGACUCCUACCUUCCCAGAGUCUCCUGGGCAGUGCCACACAGAUACCAUGUGCUGGUCCCAUGGCCACACUCCAGCACUCAGCCGCCUUGCCCGCCUCACUCCUGAGUUGGGACACUUUCCAGGUUUUACCAGGGAGAAACAAAGGCAGCACUGCCCUCGGGGGAGCAUUGGCCCUGGUGGAACGCAGCAGCCGCGAAGGAUCCAGCCAGAGGAUGCCACGCCAGCCCAGCGCUACCAGGCUGCCCAAGGGGGGCGGGCCUGGGAAGAGCCCUACGCGGGGCAGCACCUAGGAUGGGGCAGAGACUUAUCACAUCUUUGUCCCCAGCAAAGGCUAC